UUACUUCCUUUUUCGGAAGGGUUAGAAGGCUCAUAAUUCACAGAAGACUUUUCAAUUGGACUAUUAACUGACUCAAGAUUCUUAUCCAAAAUCAUAGCCUCUGAAUUUGCAACCUAUUAAAUAGGUGAGAAAAAAGCAGUUGAAGGGAAUUUUACCAAUUGUAUCCUUCCAAACAAAAUUAGCAUUUUCAAAGUAUUCUUGCAUACAUAUGGCAAAACAUAAGUUAAAUCACAUGUAUUUCGAUGGCUGAUGACCAUGAUUGUGAUUUGCCUGCCAAAAUGAAUUUUUAAAAACUCCGAAGAAAUAAAAAUGAUGGUAUACAUCAACUUCCUAGCUUGGAUGGAAAGAAGGAAAAACAAAUGUUCAGGUACUUAGACAACACUUUAUUCCUAUUAGACUAACUUUUAGGAACUAAUAAACACUAUAUUUAAGAAAAUUUUACUUUUGUUAUACUUUUAAUAAAGACUAGAAAUAACUCAGAUUGCUAACUUGCUCUUCCAAUUGUUGAGUUUAUUUAAAACUUGAAGCUGAAACAUUCAGUGUUCUCAGCUUUGGUUGAGAACUUGCAGCAUUUUAUAUAUAUGUAAAUAUAUAUGUACAUUAAUUCAAAAGGAUCAAGGACAGCAUGAACAAAAAUGCACUAGGUGCCAUGGAAGCUGGGCACCCAUCUGUUGCCCCAAACCUGUAGCAGUGGUGGCUAACCCCCCAAUUCCAUACUGGUAGGAUUAGGGGGCCCAAUUCACCACAGCAGCACUAUCAGUUGGGUGCUCAUCUGACAUCUGGGGCAAUGGCAGGCCCAAUCCAUUGCAGUGGUAGUGACCAUAGGCCAACUUUUCCUGAAUUUCCCACCCAAUGGCACUGGGGAUUGAGGUGGCACCGGCAGGGGCUAAAUGGGAGACCCAGUGGAGCCAGAAGAAUGAAGCUAAGCAGUAUGGCACUGUAAGAGCUCUGAAAAGUAAACUGUCAUUGAAACUGCAGCUUAAAAGAAGAGGCCAGGAUCUACACACUAAACCUAAACAGGGGAACUUCCUGCUGAAAGGGAGUCCUAUGCUUAGUGUUUUCAAAGAGCCCUCCCUGUGACUGGAUACUGAGACAUUUGAUCCUUCCAAGGCACUAGCAAAAGGGUGUCCAGCCAAAAUCUUGACUUUCUCUCCGGGGCAUACUCUUCUGAUAGUGAGCCUCUUAGAGUCUUCUGCAAUCUGGUCAGGCUGAGAAUUGCCUAAAUCAUUAAGUCCUGGUUCCUUUCUGCUAAACAGUUUGUUUCUUCUUCAAUUUUUCUCUUUUUUUUUCUCACAUUGUGAAAAGAAGCAAGAGGAAAUCAGGCCAAACCUUCAACACUUUGCUUAGAAACCUCAUACACCCCGGUAAUCCCAGCUACUCAGGAGGCUAAGGCACGAGAAUUGAUUGAACCCAGGAGGCGGAUGUUGCAGUGAGCCGAGAUUGUGUCACUGCACUCCAGCCUGGGCAACAGAGCCAGACUUUGACUCCAAAAAAUAAAAAAAGAAAUAAAAUCUCAUAAGUCAAACAAAAUCCAAAUUCAUAGUUUACAAGUUGUUUUCCAUAUAAUGUAGGAUACAAUGCAACUAAACUUCCUGCCACUACGUAACACAAAUCCCCUUUCCUCCUGUUUCCAAUAACAUGUAUCCUCAUUUCCUUUCAAGUCCUCACCAACAAUGCUUUUAAUGUCUAUAUUUCUAUCAAAAGUUUGUUUAUGAAGAUCUAGGUAUUAAGUCCAUGGUAGGUUUUCUCCACUGUGCUCAUUUCCUUUUAACCUCCACGGGCAGUCUUUAACUUCCAAAUUUCUACUAAGAGUCUGUUCAAGGUAAUCUAGGCUUUUUAUAAAGCAUGCUCCUCAAAACUCCUCUAGUCUCUAUGCAUUACCCUACUCAAAAGCCACUUUCACAUUUUUAGGUAUUGGUUACAGCAGCACCCCACACUUCCUGGUACCAAAUUCUUUGUGAAUUUCCUGAAGUUACCUUAACAAAUUACCACAAACUGCAUGACUUAUUUUAUCACAGCUUUAGAAGCCAAAAGUUGGAAAUCAGUUUUACUAAGCUAAAAUCAAGGUACUGGCCUUCCUUCUGGAGGCUGCCUGCGUUUCUGGACUUGAGGCCCUCCUCCAUCUUCAGUGUACUUCAUUCCAGCCUCUGCUUCCAUUGUCCCAUUUCCUUUUUCUGCCUUUGACCUUCUUGCCACUUUUUUUGUAAGAACCCUUUUGAUUAAAAUGAGCCCACACAGAUAAUCCAGGAUUAACUACCCAUCAUCUCAAGGUACUUAAUUUAAUAAUACCUACAAAGACUCUUUUCACCAUGUAAGGUAACAUAUUCACAAGUUCUGGGAAUUAGGUCAUGGACAUCUUGCAGGGACCAUUUUUUCCAUCUACCAUAGCUGUAGAAGGUCGAAAAAACACUAUCAACCAUCUUGGCACAAUUAACUCAAACAUGACAUUUACAGAACAUUACAACCAACAUUCUGUACAUGGAACAUUCGUCAAGUAAAAUAAUAUGCUGGACUAUAAAAUAAGUUUAACUUUCAAAAUUUAAGUUUUACAUAGUAUGUUCUCUGACCAAAUGAAAUCAGGUAUUAUAAAAAUAAAAUACCUAGAAGUCACAAAUAUUUUGAAAUUAAACACACACUUCCAAAUAAUUCAUAUGUCAAAGAAUACAAGGAACAUUAUAAAUCAUUUUGAACUGAUGGAAAACAAAGAUAUGAUGUAUCAAAGAUUAUAAUAUUUGCAUUAAGAAGUACAUAAUCUAACCACUAAGAAGAUGCUUAGAAUAAGUGAUACUUAGAAGGAAAUUCAGCUUUAAAUGUUUAAUGUUAGAAAAGGUCUCUUAAGAACCUGGAAAAAGAACAAAUUAUAACUAAAGUCAGUAAAAGAAAGACAAUAAAGAAAAACAGGAAUCAAAAUAAAGAAAACAAAUGAUAGAAAUAACAAAAUCUGGUUGAUCAAGAAGGAAAAAUAAUAAAUAUACAGAUUAACCCACAUCAGAAACAAAGUACAGUGAUACACUGUAGAACCCCAAACAUUAAAAGGACAAGUGAAUUUUUUUUUUUUUUUUUUUUUUUUUUUUUUGAGAUGGAGUCUCACACUGUCACUGGGCUGGAGUACAGUGGCACAAUCUUGGCUCACUGCAACCUCCGCCUCCCAGGUUCAAGCGAUUCUCCUGCCUCAGCCUUCCAAGUAGCUGGGAUUACAGGCACCUGUCACCAUGCCCGGCUAAUUUUUUGUAUUUUUAGUUGAGACGGGGUUUCACCGUGUUAGCAAGGCUGGUCUCGAACUUCUGACCUUGUGAUCUGCCCGCCUCAGCCUCCCAAAGUGCUGGGAUUACAGGUGUGAGCCACCGCGCCCAGCCUAGGACAAGUGAAUUUUACUGAUAACUUUAUGACAGUGAAUUCAAUAAUUUAGAUAACAUGGAUAAAUUCCUUACAAAGAUAACUUGCAAAACUGAUAAAAGAUGGAAAAAAAAAAAAAACUGAAUGGCUCUGUACCUACGAAAGAAUUGGAUUUUCAAGUAAAAGCCUUCUUACGAAGAAAGCUGUGGGCCAGGCGUAGUGGCUCAUGCCUGUAAUCCCAGGACUUUGGGAGGCCAAGGCGGGUGGAUCACCUGGGGUCAGGGCAGGCGGAUCACAUGAGGUCGGGAGUUCAAGACCAGCCUGACCAACAUGGAGAAACCCUGUCUCUACUAAAAAUACAAAAUUAGCCAGGUGUGGUGGCGCAUGACUGUAAUCCCAGCUACUCGGGAGGCUGAGGUAGGAGAAUUGCUUGAACCCAGGAGAUGGAGGUUGCGAUGAGCUGAGAUUGUGCCACUGCACUCCAGCCUGGGCAACAAGACUGAAACUCCAUCUCAAAAAAAUAAAUAAACAAAGAAAGCUCCUUGCUCAGUUUUCAGAAUCUAAGUGCUGAGUAUACAAGUAUUCACUAUAAAAUUAUUUCGGAUUGCUGGCAAGAUGGCUGAAUAGGAACAGCUCCGGUCUGCAGCUCCCAGUAAGAUUGAUGCAGAAGGCAGGUGAUUUCUGCAUUUCUAACUGAGGUACCUGGUUCAUCUCAUUGGGACUAGUUGGACAGUGGGUGUAGCCACAGACAGCGAGCUAAAGCAUGGUGGGGCUCUCACCAGGGAAGCACAACGGGUCAAGGAAUUCUCUUCCCUACCCAAGGGAAGCCAUGAUGGACUAUGCCGUGAGGAACGGUACACUCCAGCCCAGAUACUGCAUUUUUCCCACAGUCUUCACAACCCACAGACCAGGAGAUUCCCUCCGGUGCCUAUGCUACCACGGCCCUGGGUUUCAAGCACAAAGCUGGGUGGCUGUUAGGGCAGACACUGAGUUAGGUGCAGGAGUUUUUCUUUUCCAUACCCUAGUGGUGCCUAGAAUGCCAGUGAGAGAGAACCGUUCACUCUUCCUGCAAAGGGGGCUGAAGCCAGGGAGCCAAGUGUUCUGGCUCGGCAGGUCCCACCCACACGGAGCCCAGCUAGCUAAGAUCCACUGGCUUGAAAUUCUCGCUGCCAGCACAGCAGUCUGAGGUUGACCUGGGAUGGUCAAGCUUGGUGAGGGGAGGGGCAUUGACCAUUGCUGAGGCUUGAGUAGGCGGUUUCCCCCUCACAGUGCAAACAAAGCCACUGGGAAGUUUGAACUGGGCCGAGCCCACUGCAGCUCGGCAAGGCCACUGUGGCCAGACUGCCUCUCUAGAUUCCUCCUCUCUGGACAGGGCAUCUCUGAAAAAAAGGCAGCAGGGGCUUAUAGAUAAACCCCCCAUCUCCCUGGGACAGAGCACCUGAGGGCUUCAGUAGACUUAAAUGUCCCUGCCGGACAGGACUCUGAAGAGAGCAGCAGAUCAGUGGAUCUCCCAGCACAGCAUUUGAGCUCUGCUAAAUGUCAGACUGGCUCCUCAAGUGGGUCCCUGACCCCCGUGUAUCCUGACUGGGAGACACCUCCCAGUAGGGGCCAACAGACACCUCAUACAAGAGAGCUCUGGCUGGCAUCUGUCAGUGCCCCUCUGGGAUGAAGCUUCCAGAGGAAGGAACAGGCAGCAAUCGUUGCUGUUCUGCAGCCUCUGCUGGUGAUACCCAGGCAAACAAGGUCGGGAGUGGACCUCAAGCAGACCUGCACCACAGGGGCCUGACAGAAGAGUAACAAACAGAAAGGAAUAGCAUCAACAUCAACAAAAAGGACGUCCACUCAGAGACCCCAUCCGAAGGUCACCAACAUCAAAGACCAAAGGUAGAUAAAUCCACAAAGAUGGGGAGAAACCAGCCCAAAAAGGCUGAAAAUUCCAAAAACAAGAACGCCUCUUCUCCUCCAAAGGAUCACAACUACUUGCCAGCAACAGACCAAAACUGGACGGAGAAUGAGGGUGACAAGUUGACAGAAGUAGGCUUCAGAAGGUGGGUAAUAACAAACUCCAAUGAGCUAAAGGAGCACUUUUUUUUUUUGGGACGGAGUUUUGCUCUUGUCGCCCAGGCUGGAGUGCAGUGGAGCGAUCUCGACUCACUGCAACCUCUGCCUCCCGGGUUCAAGCGAUUCUCCUGCAUAGCCUCCUGAGUAGCUGGGACUACAGGCGUGCACCACCACGCCCAGCUACUUUUUUGUAUUUUUAGUAGAGAUGGGGUUUCACUAUGUUGGCUAGGGUGGUCUUGAACUUUUGACCUUGUGUCCAUCUCGACCUCUCAAAGUGCUGGGAUUACAGGUGUGAGCCAGUGUACCCAGCCUAAAGGAGCAUCUUCUAACUCAAUGCAAGGAAGCUAAGAGCUUUGAAAAAAGGUUAGAUAAAUAGCUAAGUAGAAUAACCAGUUUAGAGAAGAAUAUAAAUGACCUGAUGGAGCUGAAAAACACGGUAUGAGAACUUCAUGAAGCAUACACAAGUAUUAACAGCUGAACUGAUCAAGCGGAAGAAAGGAUAUCAGAGAUUGAAGAUCAACUUAAUGAAAUAAAGUGAGAAGACAAGAUUAGAGAAAAAAGAAUUUUUGAAAAGGAACGAACACAGCCUCCAAGAAAUAUGGGACUAUGUGAAAAGACCACACCUAUGUUUGAUUGUUGUACCCGAAAGUGACAGGGAGAAGGGAACCAAGUUAGAAAACACUCUUCAGGAUAUUAUCCAGGAGAACUUCCCCAACCUAGCAAGACAGGCCAACAUUCAAAUUCAGGAAAUACAGAGACCACCACAAAGAUACUCCUGGAGAAGAGCAACCCUAAGACACAUAAUCGUCAGAUUCACCAAGGUUGAAAUGAAAGAAAAAAUGUUAAGGGCAGCCAGAGAGAAAGGUAAGGUUACCCACAAAGGGAAGCCCAUCAGACUAACAGCAGCUCUCUCUGCAGAAACCCUACAAGCCAGAAGAGAGUGGGGGCCAAUAUUCAACAUUUUUAAAGAAAAGAAUUUUCAACCCAAAAUUUCAUAUCCAGCCAAACUAAGCUUCAUAAGUGAAGGAGAAAUAAAAUCCUUUACAGACAAGCCAAUGCUGAGACAUUUUGUCACCACCAGGCCUGCCUUACAAGAGCUCCUGAAAGAAGCACUAAACAUGGAAAGGAACAACCAGUACCAGCCACUGCAAAAACAUACCAAAUUGUAAAGACCAUUGACACUGUGAAGAAACUGCAUCAACUAACCGGCAAAAUAACCAGCUAGCAUCAUAAUGACAGGAUCAAAUUCACACAUAACAAUAUUAACCUUAAAUGUAAAUGGGCUAAAUGCCCCAAUUAAAAGACACAGACUGGCAAACUGGAUAAAGAGUCAAGACCCAUUGGUGUGCUGUAUUCAGGAGAUCCAUCUCACAUGCAAAGACACACACAGGCUCAAAAUAAAGGGAUGGAGGAAGAUCUACCAAGCAAAUGGAAAACAAAAAAAAAAGCAGGGGUUGCAAUCCUAGUCUCUGAUAAAACAGACUUUAAACCAACAAUGAUCAAAAGAGACAAAGAAAGGCAUUACCUAAUGGUAAAGGGAUCAAUGAAACAAGAAGAACUAUCAUAAAUAUAUAUGCACCCAAUGCAGGAACACCCAGAUUCAUAAAGCAAGUUCUUAAAGACCUACAAAGAGACUUAAGACUCUCAGACAGUAAUAGUGGGAGACUUUAACAACGCACUGUCAAUAUCAGACAGAUCAACGAGACAGAAAAUUAGCAAGGAUACUCAGGACUAGAACUCAACUCUGGACCAAGUGGACCUAAUAGACAUCUACAGAACUCUCCACCCCAAAUCAAUAGAAUAUACAUUCUUCUCAGCACCUCAUCAUACUUAUUCUAAAAUUGACCACAUAACUGGAAUUAAAACACUCCUUAGCAAAUGCACAAGAAUGGGAAUCCUAACAGUCUCUCAGACCACAGUGCAAUAAAAUUAGAACUCAGUAUUAAGAAACUCACUCAAAACCACACAACUACAUGGAAACUGAACAACCUGCUCCUGAAUGACUAAUGGAUAAAUAACAAAAUUAAGGCAGAAAUAAAGAUGUUCUUUGAAACCAAUGGGACCAAAGACACAAUGUAUCAGAAUCCCUGGGACACAUUUAAAACAGUGUUUAGAGGGAAAUUUAUAGCACUAAAUGCCCACAAGCGGGAAAGAUCUAAAAUCGACACCCUAACAUCAAAAUUAAAAGAAGUAGAGAAGCAUGAGCAAACAAAUUCAAAAGCUAGCAGAAGACAAGAAAUAACUCUAAGAUCAGAGCAGAACUGAAGGAGAUAGAGACAUGAAAAACCCUUAAAAACAAACAAACAAACAAAAAAAUCAAUGAAUCCAGGAGCUGGUUUUCUUAAAAAAGAUCCAACAAAAUAGACCGCUAGCCUGACUAAUAAAGAAGAAAAGACAGAAGAAUCAAAUAGACACAAUAAAAAAUCAUAAAGGGGAUAUCACCACUGAUCCCACAGAAAUACAGACUACCAUCAGAGAAUAAUAUGAACACCUCUAUGCAAAUAAACUAGAAAAUCUAGAAGAAAUGUAUAAAUUCCUGGACACAUACACCCUCCCAAGUCUAAAGCAGGAAGAAAUCGAAUUCCUGAAAAGACCAAUAACGAGUUCUGAAAUUGAGGCAGUAAUUAAUAGUCUACCAACCAAAAGUCCAGGACCAGAUGGAUUCACAGCCAAAUCCUACCAGAGGUACAAAGAGGAGCUGGUACUGUUCCUUCUGAAACCAUUCCAAAGAAUAGAAAAAGAGGGAAUCCUCCCUAAUUCAUUUUAUGAGUCCAGCGUCAUCCUGAUACCAAAACCUCACAGAGACACAACAAAAGAAAAUUUCAGGCCAAUAUCCCUGAUGAACAUCAAUGCGAAAAUCCUCAAUAAAAUACUGGCAAACUGAAACCAGCAGCACAUCAAAAAGCUUAUCCACCACGGUCAAGUUGGCUUCAUACCUAGGAUGCAGGGCUGGUUCAACAUACACAAAUCAAUAAACUUAAUCCAUCACAUAAACAGAACCAAUGAGAAAAACCACAUGAUUAUCUCAAUAGAUGCAGAAAAGGCCUUUGACAAAAUUCAACACCCCUUCAUGCUAAAAACUCUCAAUAAACUAGGUACUGAUGGAACAUAUCUCAAAAUAAUAAGAGUUAUUUAUGACAAACCCACAGCCAAUAUCAUACUGAAUGGGCAGAAACUGGAAGCAUUCCCUUUGAAAACUGGCACAAGAGAAGGAUGCCCUCUCUCUCACUACUCCUAUUCAACAUAGUAUUGGAAGUUCUGGCCAGGGCAAUCAGGCAAGAGAAAGAAAUAUGGGGUAUUCAAAUAAGAAGAGAGGAAGUCAAAUUGUCUCUGUUUGCAGAUAACAUGCAAUUUUUAGAUUUAGAAAUAUCUACAUCUAAAAUAGAUUGAGAUUUUCUAAAUAAUAUUUAGAAAACCCCAUCAUCUCAGCCCCAAAUCUCCUUAAGCUGAUAAGCAACUUCAGCAAAGUCUCAGGAUACAAAAUCAAUGUGCAAAAAUCACAAGCAUUCCUAUAUACCAAUAACAGAGAACCAAAUCAUGAGUGAACUCCCAUUCACAAUUGCUACAAAGAGAAUACCUAGGAAUCCAACUUACAAGGGAUGUGAAGGACCUCUUCAAGGAGAACUACAAACCACUGCUCAAGGAAAUAAGAGAGGCCACAAAUAAAUGGAAAAUAUUCCAUGCUAAUGGAUAGGAAGAAUCAAUACUGUGAAAAUGGCCAUACUGCCCAAAGUAAUUUAUAGAUUCAAUGCUAUCCCCAUCAAGCUACCAUUGACUUUCUUCACAGAAUUGGAAAAAAAUACUUAAAAUUUCAUAUGGAACCAAAAAAGAGCCCAUAUAGCCAAGACAGUCCUAAGCAAAAAGUACAAAGCUGGAGGCAUCACACUACCUGACUUCAAACCAUAUUACAAGGCUACAGUAACCAAAACAGCAUGGUACUGGUACCAAAAGAGAUAUAUAGACCAAUGGAACAGAACAGAGGCCUUAGAUAUAACACCACCUAUCUACAACCAUCUGAUCUUUGACAAACCUGACCAAAACAAGCAAUGGGGAAAGGAUUCCCUAUUUAAUAAAUGGUGUUGGGAAACCUGGUUAGCCAUAUGCAGAAAACUGCAACUGGACCCCUUCCUUACACGUUAUACAAAAAUUAGUUCAAGAUGGAUUAAAGACUUAACCAUAAGACCUAAAACCAUAAAAGCCUUAGAAGAAAACCUAGGUGUUAGGAACAGUUUCUCUUCAAAGGAUUUCACCCCCCUUGUCCUUUGUUCUAUUUUUAAGUUAUCUUUCCUGCCUUUAACAGGCCCAGGCAUCCACCAAGCUUGUAGCUGACCCACACUGCCUUACUUUAAGUUGUUAGGUACAAACAAUAAACUUCCUGGUUCUUUGUCCUAUUCUAAAUGCUAAAUCUAGUCAAUUGGGAUCUGUUUAGAUUGUGCAGUCUGACCCCAAUUAACGGGGGAGGUGGGGGAGGCAGGGAAGACACAGAAACAGGAGCGGCAUUAGGAAUAAAAACCCCUGCUUUCCUUUGUUCGGUGUGCUCUUGUGAUUGUGACUGACGCAGGCAGCACCCUUCUGCAGAAGUAAAUUUACCUUGCCGAGAAGUCUUUUGAGUGUUCGUUUUCUUUGCAACUCCCAGCUCAUUUCUAACAAUUUGGGGGCCCUGCCUGGGAUCCCAUUCUUCUCCGGAGAAGGGUCUCCGGUCAUCUUCUGGGAGGGGAUGCAUCCCACUGACUUGGUGCAGUGGCCUCAAAGGCUGGAGACUGAGACCCACCCGUUGUGACAAAUAAACCUGGAAUCUCAGCAACGCGAGAAGACAAGGACUACAAAUACUGUGGCGACCAGGUAACUAUGUGCACAGACCAAGGUAAGAAAAGCCGCUGGGGUGGUGAAGUGCUUCCUUGAUGGUUGGAGUAUCUUGGAGGUUGAAAGUGCGUGAAUGGUAACAAGCACUACUGCUGUGCAGAGUGAGUGAGUCCAAUCUGCAGUUCCGUGGUCAACUCAUAUGGCUUAUGGCGGCCCUUUGGGGGUCCCGUCAGGGUUUUCUACUGAUCCAUCAAUGUUAAGAGGGACCUAAAUUCCCUCUGGGGAAGUAGCCAGAGAAGACGAAGCAAAAGGAGAAGAGUGCGAGAAACCUCCAGUGGUUGGGGGGCAGGGGGCGGGUUGAGGCUAUAGGAAAGGAAAGGCAAGAAAUCUCCAGCAGGGGGGCAUUGAGCCUCACACAAACUUCCAAUAGUUGGGAAGGCAAGAAACUUCCAAUAGGGGAUAUUGAGCCUCACCCCAAAACCCCCAAGAUGGGAAACACCCCAAAUAAGGUAGGGCAUAAAAAGGAUAACACUAGCAGCAAUAACAUUCCCCCUGAUAGUCCCCUAGGGCUUAUGUUAAAAUAUGGAAAGAUAAUGAAAGGACUAAACACAAGAAAAAGCAACAGAUGAUAAAAUAUUGUUGUCUCAUUCGGACCCAGGAACCAAUCCUCGAACCCUCAGUUUUUUGGCCAAAGUUUGGGUCAUAUGAGGAUUGGAUGUGUCAGCUUUCAAUAGAACAUAUUAAUAGUAAGAGCCCUACCUCCCAAGAGGAAAUAGGUUAUGCCCUAUGUUGGUGGCAAGGACCUGUACUCCUUCACCCCCUAAAGACUGGAGGGAACAAGUCAAAAACUAACCUUUGGUGGAAAGUUGGUUGUAAUCACACCUCAUCAAGUUAGAACCAUCUUAAAUCAAAAGGCAGGAAGGUGGCUUACUGACUCAAGAAUUUUAAAAUAUGAAGCUAUCCUGUUAGAGAUUAUUUAACACUAUCCACUGAUGAUUCACUUAACCCAGCAGGUUUCUUGACUGGAGAUCCAAAUCUAAAGAGACCUGAACAUGAGUGUUUAGAUUUAAUUAAUUACCAUACAAAAGUUAGGCCUAAUUUAAGAGAGACCCCUUUCAAAACAGGGCAGCACUUAUUUAUAGGUGGCUCUUGCUGAGUAACUGAAGGAAAAAGAUAUAAUGGGUACUCAGUAGUCAAUCAAUGGGGAAGCCCUUGAAGAAGUAGGGCUUGAAGUAGCCCUUGAAGAAGUCAGGAAGACUGCCCAAUAAUUGGUCUGCCCAAACAUGUGAAUUGUUUGCAUUAUAUCAAGCCUAAAGCACUUGCAGAACCAAGAAGGAACUAUUUAUACUGAUUCCAAGUAUGCUUUCAGGGUAGCUCACACUUUUGGAAAAAUUUCGAUUGAACAAGGCUUUAUUAAUAGCAAAGGUCAAGACCUAGUUCACAAAGAGUUAAUCACCCAUGUAUUUAAUAAUCUCCAGGGCCAGGCGUGGUGGCUCACGCCUGUAAUCCCAGUACUUUGGGAGGCCGAGGUGGGCAGAUCACCUGAGGUCGGGAGUUCGAGACCAGCCUGACCAACAUAAAGAAAUCCUGUCUCUACUAAAAAUACAAAAAAAUUAGACAGUCAUGGCGGCACAUGCCUGUAAUUCCAGCUACUUGGGAGGCUGAGGCAGGAGAAUUGCUUGAACCUGGGAGGCGGAGGUUGCUGUGAGCCAAGAUCACACCAUUGCACUCCAGCCUGGGCAACAAGAGUAAAGCCCUGUCUCAAAUAAAUAAAUAAAUAAAUAAUCUCCAGCUGCCAGAAUAAAUAGCUAUUGUCCAUGUCCCAGGACACAAGAAAAGCCUUUCUUUUGAAAGUCAAGGAAAUAACCUUGCAGAUCAAAUAGCCAAACAAGUGGCUGUUUCCUCUGAGAGGCCUGUUUUUCACUUAACUCCUUGCCUUCCUCCCCCUACCACAGUCCCCAUUUUCUCUUCCACUGAAAAAAGAAAAAUUAAUAAAAACAGGGGCUAAAGAAAACUCAGAAGGGAAAUGGGUAUUAUCAGACCAAAGAGAAAUGUUAUCCAAACCUCUCAUGAAGGAGGUCUUGUCUCAGCUGCAUCAAGGAACCCAUUGGGGACCCCAAGCUAUGUGUGAUGCAGUUCUCAGAGUUUAUGGGUGUAUAGGAAUUUAUACCCUAGCCAAACAAGUUACAGAUAGUUGCUUAAUACGUAAGAAAACUAAUAAGCAAACUCUAAAAAAAUCACCACUUGCGGGAAGACGUCCAGGACUAAGACCAUUCCAUAGUGUCCAAACUGAUUACACAGAAAUACCUCAAUAGGUCACCUAAAAUUCCUAUUAGUAAUAGUAGAUCACCUCACUCACUGGGUAGAAGCUAUUCCCUUUUCAAAUGCAACUGCUAAUAAUGUAGUUAAGGCAUUAAUUGAAAAUAUUGUACCCAGGUUUGAAAUAAUAAAAAACAUUGAUUCAGAUAAUGGAACUCGUUUCAGUGCAAAUAUUGUUAAAGGGCUUACUCAAACUCUAGGAAUAAAUUGGGAAUAUCAUACUCCAUGGCAUCCACCUUCAUCAAGGAAGGUAGAAAAAAAUGAACCAAACUUUAAAGAAUCAUUUAAAUCGAUUUUGAAAACUUCAUUGCCUUGGACCAAGUGUCUCCCCAUUGCCCUGCUCAGAAUUCAAACUGCCCCUCAAAAAGACAUUACGUACUUGGUCUAUCUUCUAUUCGAACUGCCCCUCAAAAAGACAUUACAUACUUGGUCUAUCUUCUACUUUGUCUUCUCUUAGGACCCAAGGUCUCUUAGCACAAACACUGCCUCUUGAGUUCCCAGUGCAUCUGUAUCAAUCUGGAGAUUACGUCCUCAUCAAAAGCUGGAAAGAAGAAAAACUCGAACCAACCUGGGAGACCUUAUCUAGUGCCCCUAACCACUGAGACAGCAGUCUGGACCGUUAAGAAAGGGUAGACCCAUCACACUCAGCUACCCAGGAACAUUUUAUUUUAUCAAUGUAACCUGAUCAUCGUUUCCUCAAACAAUUACAUUUGAUGCUUGUCUUGUUAUGCCCUGUGGGGACCUACAAACCCAAAGGCAACUAGCCUCUUCAGCUCUUGUUUCUAACAUAGGCAAUAACAUACAGGACAUAGGAAUGGGCAAAGACUUCAUGACUAAAACACCAAAAGCAACAGCAACAAAAGCCAAAAUUGACAAAUGGGAUCUAAUUAAACUAAAGAGAUUCUGCGCAGCAAAGGAAACUAUCAUCAGAGUGAACAGGCAACCUACAGAAUGGGAGAAAAUUUUUGCAAUCUAUCCAUUUGACAAAGGGCUAAUGUCCAGAAUCUAUAAAGAACUUAAAUUUACAAGAAAAAAACAACCCCAUCAAAAAGCGGGCGAAGGAUAUGAACAGACACUUCUCCAAAGAAGACAUUUAUGCAGCCAACAAACAUGAAAAAUAGCUGAUCAUCACUGGUCAUUAUAGAAAUGCAAAUCAAAACCACAGUAAGAUACUAACUCAUGCCAGUUAGAAUGGCGAUCAUUAAAAAGUCAGGAAACAACAGAUGCUGGAGAGGAUGUGCAGAAAUAGGAAUGCUUUUUAUACUGUUGGUGAAAGUGUAAAUUAGUUCAACCAUUGUGGAAGACAGUGUGGCGAUUCCUCAAGGAUCUAUAGAACCAGAACUACCACAUGACCCAGCAAUCCCAUUACUGGGUAUAUACCCAAAGGAUUAUACAUCAUUCUGCUAUAAAGACACAUGCACACGUACGUUUAUUGCAGCACUAUUUACAAUAGCAAAGACUUGGAAUCAACCCAAAUCCCCGUCAAUGAUAGACUGGAUAAAGACAAUGUGGCACUUAUACACCAUGGAAUACUAUGCAGCCAAAAAAAGGAUGAAUUCAUGUCCUUUGCAGCGACAUGGAUGAAGCUGAAAACCAUCAUUCUCAGCAAACUAACACGAGAACAGAAAACCAAACACUACAUGUUCUCACUCAUAAGUGGGAGUUGAACAAUGAGAACACAUGGACACACGGAGGGGAACACCACACACCAGGGCCUGUCAGGGGGUGGGGAGGCUAGGGGAGGGAUAGCAUUAGGAGAAAUACCUAAUGUAGAUGACAGGUUGAUGGGUCUGACAAACCACCAUGACACGUGUAUACCUAUGUAAUGCAACUGCACAUUUUGCUCAUGUACCCCAGAACUUAAACUAUAAUUAAAAACACAUAAUUUCAACUUUGCUGUAUAUAUUUGAUACUUUUCAUGAUAAAAUGGGGGUGGGGGAAGCCAAUCUUGGCAAUCACCAAUCCUCUUUCUACUCCCUUUACUACAGAAAUACAAGUGGCAUGUACUACCUAAGGGUGUCUUUUCCAGAGACAGAUGCAUGGGAACACUCUAAGUAAAAACUUACUUACCUUUACACCUUCUGUCCUAGCCUGGAAAUAUAUUCAUUUCUUCUAAUCAAACCACUUAUAUGAGUCAAAUAGAUGAUUACAAUUCCUGUGUGUUUAUACAAACCUUAGAGGCUCCAUUACUG
rnacentral:lncRNA from 1 species